UGUUACCCGUCCCUCUCUCUAUCUCUCUAAACCUAUCUUUUUCAACUUUGAUUUUGGAAAGAAAUUGCUUGAAUUGGAGCUUCAAAUUUGUGGGUUUUUGAGCUUGGAAUUGAAGGGAGUUCUAGCUAUAUUUGAGGAUUACCGGCACCUGAUCAGGAGCACCCAGGGGUUUGGAAUCUCUGUUAUUGCGGGACAACAGGAAAGGGUAAGUCAGUGGCUGAUCAACCAUGAGUUUGAGGAGCAAAACGAAGAAUGUACAUGUUCAAGCCAUAUCAGACCAAGCGGGUUAAGGGUCUAUCAGUGUUGAACUUUUGAAUUCUGUUUUGCCGCUUAGGUCGGCUAGAAAGAAAAGACUUGUAAUAAGUUUGUAAUUAUUUUUGGGAUCCCAACUAUUUUGAAAGUUUAAAUAUAUUACAAGUUUAUUUUCA